CGAACGCUGGCGGCGUGCCUAAUACAUGCAAGUCGAACGCACCCUUCGGGGUGAGUGGCGCACGGCUGAGUAACACGUGGGAAUCUGUCGUCGAGUGGGGGAUAACGCACCGAAAGGUACGCUAAUCCCGCAUACGUUCCGUAAGGAAGAAAGGCGCAAGUCGCUGGACGAGGAGCCUGCGGCCCAUCAGGUAGUUGGAGGGGUAACGGCCCACCAAGCCAAUGACGGGUAGCUGGUCUGUGAGGACAACCAGCCACACUGGAACUGAGACACGGUCCAGACUCCUACGGGAGGCAGCAGUGAGGAAUUUUCUGCAAUGGGCGAAAGCCUGACAGAGCAAUACCGCGUGAGGGAUGAAGGCCUACGGGUUGUAAACCUCUUUUUUCAAGGAGGAAGAUCUGACGUUACUUGAAGAAUAAGCAUCGGCUAACCCUGUGCCAGCAG
rnacentral:rRNA from 1 species